GGGCCGAUGGUUCAGUGGUAGAAUACUCGGUUGGCAAUCGAGUGGUCCCGGGUUCAAUUCCCGGUCGGUCCA
rnacentral:tRNA from 1 species